GGGCCCAUAGCUCAGCGGUAGAGCCGCCGGCUCAUAACCGGUCUGUCCCAGGUUCGAAUCCUGGUGGGCCCACCA
rnacentral:tRNA from 1 species